UACGUAGGGUGCGAGCGUUGUCCGGAUUUAUUGGGCGUAAAGCGCUCGCAGGUGGUCCGUCGCGUCGUGCGUGAAAUCCCCGGCUCAACCGGGGAAAUGCGCGUGAUACUGGCGGGCUUGAGAUCGGGAGGGGUGAAUGGAACUCCAGGUGGAGCGGUGAAAUGCGUAGAUAUCUGGAGGAACACCGGUGGCGAAAGCGGUUCACUGGCCCGACACUGACACUGAGGUGCGAAAGCUAGGGUAGCAAACGGG
rnacentral:rRNA from 1 species